rnacentral:lncRNA from 1 species
UUGCUGGGAAAGGGAUUGAACUUUGUGAAAUUUGGCUCAUAGAAUGUGAAAAUAAAAUGGGUCUGCAGAACGGAUUUUAAAUAAGGAAUUAACAUUUGAAAUAUUUCUGUGUGGAAAGGCCUUGUGUCACCGUAUACAAACAUCUUCCUUUCAUGUGUAUUGACACCUGCAGCUUCAGUUGGAGCCUCAUAAACCAACUAUUUGGUGACCUUGAGACCCGACAAAGCGAGUCUUUCUGCUGGUGCUGGGCGGUUGUGGAAAAUCCACAUGCCUGGAAACAUAAAUCCCAUGUAAUGGCAAGCCUUGCAUCAGUGUAGCUGCAAGAUUUGGAGGGCGAAGGCUCAGCUCUAACAGCACCAAAGUCAGCGUUGAUUUGAAGGAUGCUGAAUGUAGGCCUGUUGUCCCACAGCCACCUGCACAGCCCCAUGGUGGGAACAGGUUCCCGAAAAAGCAGAGGACCUGGUGCACUACUGAUGGUGUUUGGACUCUCUCCGGAGUGAACCAACCACCCAGCACUGCUUCUGAGGAUGAGAAACAAGUCCUUAAAAGAGCAGGAAGAGGGACUUUUGUCAUGGGUGGUGUGUGUCAAGCCAGCAUAAAUCGGGUGGGGGUCCUUCAUAACACAGAAUUAAAAGCCACAGAGCAAUGCUCAUCCCGGGGGCUCCAGUGCAGAGUAGUGGGCACUCGGGGAAUUCCAGGUUUCACAGCCAGAAUAGGGACCAGUACAGGGACCAGGCUUGACAGUUGAGAUUUUCCGUGUAUUUUUACUACAAAGAAAUUCACUAGAAGUUUUAAAGGACAGAAGUAUGGAAGUUCCUUUUUAUCAUAAAGGGGGGGGGAAGGGCAUUUUUUCCCUCUCAUGCUCAUGUUCUGCAAGAGCUGGAACAGUGGGAGCUCUCUUCUCCAUAGGUGUUCAGAUGGGAGGGUCCUGACCCAAUGGAUAAUUCUGGGAAAUUACCUUGUCUCCUGUCUGAAACCACUUAACUGCAAUAAUAAGUUGUCAAAAAGCUGUAACAGAUGUUGAUUCUUUUUAAUUUUUUUUUGCCAAAGGUAUUCUUGUAGAAUGAGCUAUGCCUGGGCUCGUGCUAUAAACACCAACAAGAGCUCAUCAGAAACUCCC